rnacentral:tRNA from 1 species
AGCCCAGUGGUCCAAUGGUAAGGCGCUCGUCGCGGAGCCAGAGGGUCCUGGGUUCGAUUCCCAACGGUGUCG